rnacentral:rRNA from 1 species
GAACACGUGUGCACGCUUUAUCUCGGGGGAUACGCCUUUCGAAAGGAAGAUUAAUACCCCAUAAUAUGUUGAAUGGCAUCAUUCGACAUUGAAAACUCCGGUGGAUAGAGAUGGGCACGCGCAAGAUUAGAUAGUUGGUGAGGUAACGGCUCACCAAGUCUACGAUCUUUAGGGGGGCCUGAGAGGGUGAUCCCCCAACUGGUACUGAGACACGGACCAGACUCCUACGGGAGGCAGCAGUGAGGAAUAUUUGGACAAUGGGUGAGAGCCUGAUCCAGCAUCCCGCGUGAACGGACGACUGCCUAUGGGUUGUCAAACUUCUUAUGUCAUCAGGGAUUACAANCCUUACACCUCCGUGAANGGGUCAGCCUUGCAAAGGUAACUUANUCAACGAAAUUAACGCAACCAGGACUAAAACUCCCCNGUUAGCCAAGCAUAAGNCCCAGCAGGGUUCANUCAACUCGGGACGUNGGCAUGCCAAAGNCCGGAUAAACUCCACGGGAACUUUANAAUCUACGGGGGCCGCUAUAAAACANAAGNGGGACUACCCAGUAACAAACAGGACACGAGNAAACUCCCUGGAACAAGAUAAAACCAGCA